AGAUCAUGUGCUGAGAAUCUCCCUGUUAAUUCUCCUAUUCAACACAAAAUUGUCAGGGAAGUUUAUUCUUUUCUCCCAAUACAAUUGAGGGUAUAACAAAGGGCCAACUCUUUUCUGUCUUUUUUUGUUCAAAUGCAGAAGAGUGACCUUUGGAGAUAUACAUAUUUUGUUUUCCUUCGAAUCACUUCCUUGGUCAACUAGGAAUUUUCGCUGUGCACCACAGAUAGCAUUCCUUGGAAGGUAUACUAAAAUUAAAUACUCUGUUUUUGCUCACAGCUGUAGAAGAGCGAUGGGGAUAUGCAGAGGAAGUGUCUGUUACUCUUCAUACAGAGGAGGAAGUCUCUUAUACAGUCCCUGAAGAACCUGAGAGGAUUACCAAAAAAGAAAGACUACCAAUAACAAUAGCUACAAAAGUGAAGAAGCCUCCGACGAAAGGUAUAUUUGACGUUGUAACAUGUGUUUUCUCUGUGUGCUCCAAAUGUGUACUGUGUAUGCUAGUCUGGUAUUUCUGAGUAUUCUUAUUUUGGCUCUUAACGGUGAAGUAAAAUUUAGUUCUCAGUGUUCUUGAAUAGGUCACCUAAGCCUCUUGCAAAUUCUUGUUUUUAAAGCACCAGAGGUUCGUAAAGCUGUUGUUGAAAAAGAAGUUGUCCAUGUAGAAGUUUCUCCGUAUGUGGAGGAGGAGGAGGAGGAAGAGGAAGAAGCUACUCCAUAUGAAGAAGUGCCACCUCAGUAUGAAGAGGAGGAAGUGGCAGAAUAUGAAGAAGAAAUAUCUCGGUAUGAAGAGGAAGUUACCCGCUAUGAAGAGAAAGUCAGCCAGUAUGAGGAGGAAAUAACUCACUAUGAGGAAGAGGAAGAAGUUCCUCCUUAUGAAGAAGUUCCUGAAUAUGAAGAAGAGGAAGAGGUCCCUCCACCACCACCUCCUCCAGCUAAAGUGCCUGAAGUACCCAAGAAGCCUGUGCCUGAGAAAAAGGUUCCCGCGGUGCCUGUACCUAAGAAAAAGGAAGCUCCUCCAGCGAAAGGUACACCCUCUUUGUUGCUACUCUCACACUCUUUUUUUAAAAUAUUAAUCCCUUGAGCUAAGGGCAUCCAUUGAGGGACAUGGGGAACAGUCGCGGUCCUCUUCCUAGCUGUGUUGUUUACAGUCUUUUGUUUUAAUGUGCUGUAAGUGACGGAGUGUCUCAAACCAUAUCUUUAAAGUGCCCGAGGUGCCAAAGAAACCUGUACCAGAAGAAAAGGUGCCGGUGCCGAAAAGAAAAGAAGCUCCACCCGCCAAAGGUAAAUCAGUUUAGGGUUUGCCAUGUGUAGAUAACUGUUAUGUUCUCUUCAGACAUUCGCCUGAAGAAGUAUGCUCGGGCAUACGAAAGCUUGUGAAAAAUAAACGCCAGUUACUCUUAAAGGGGCCA
rnacentral:lncRNA from 1 species